UGAUAAGGAGGAUACGCCAAUAGUGUUUGGAGAAGCCCAUGAAAUAGCGUUUAAUAAAUCUGGCCUUGGACUCGACUGGAUCCCGUUGAAUUUUAUCACCAUUUACCACAUUGAUACAAGAAAAGCGGAAGUGAAGAUGCCGAGUGGUCAUACCGACGAGCCUAUCAUCGAGGACAACAGAGAUGGGACAGUCAGCAUCAAGUACGAGCCAAGAGAGGAGGGAACUCAUGAGCUCUACGUCAAGUACAAUGGAGAACAUGUACAAGGAUCUCCCUACAAGUUCCACGUAGACUCUAUCCCUUCAGGGUAUGUGACAGCGUAUGGCCCAGGACUGGUGAGCGGCGUCAGCGGCGAGCCAUGCCAUUUCACCAUCAGUACGAAGGGAGCUGGCGCUGGUGGACUUACCAUGUCUGUCGAAGGACCCAGCAAGGCCGAGAUCACUUGCCAUGACAACAAAGAUGGCACCGUCUCCGUGUCAUUCCUGCCAACUGCUCCUGGCGAGUACAAGGUCUCAGUCAGGUUUGGUGAGAAACACAUUAAAGGAUCUCCCUUCUUAGCGAAGAUAACCGGUGAAGGUCGUAAGAGGAACCAAAUCUCUGUAGGCAGUUGCAGCGAAGUCACCUUACCCGGCAAGAUCAGUGACAAUGAUAUUCGCAGUCUUAACGCUUCCAUUCAGGCACCUUCUGGACUCGAAGAACCCUGUUUCUUGAAGCGGCUUCCAUCUGGCAAUAUUGGAAUCAGCUUCACUCCUCGUGAGGCUGGUCAGCACAUCGUUUCUGUUAAGAAAAUGGGUGUUCAUAUCCAAAAUUCUCCUUUCAACAUCACUGUCACGGAGACAGAAGUUGGUGAUUCUAAAAAAGUCAAGGUUUCCGGCACGGCCCUGAAGGAGGGCAAGACUCAUACCGAGAAUACUUUCACAGUUGACACCAAGAAUGCUGGUUACGGUGGUCUUUCACUCUCCAUUGAAGGUCCCAGUAAGGCCGAGAUCCAGUGCGCAGACGGCAAAGAUGGCGUUCUGGCAAUCAGCUACAAGCCAACCGAACCUGGAUAUUACAUCAUCAACUUGAAGUUCGCUGAUCAUCAUGUUGAAGGGUCUCCCUUCACCGUAAAGGUGACUGGUGAGGGCAGCAACAGACAGAGAGAGAAGAUCCAGAGACAGCGUGACCAAGUACCUCUUACCGAAGUUGGCACAAACUGCAAGCUCACGUUCAAGAUGCCUGGUAUCACCUCCUUUGACUUGGCGGCGACCGUUACCAGCCCAGGAGGAAUCUCUGAGGACGCUGAGAUCCAGGAGGUGGAAGACGGUCUCUACGCUGUCCACUUCGUGCCCAAGGAGCUGGGUGUCCACACCGUGUCCGUCAAGUACAGGGAUAUCCAUAUUCCUGGGUCUCCCUUCCAAUUCACUGUUGGCCCUCUCCGAGAUUCUGGGUCCCACUUAGUGAAGGCCGGAGGACCGGGUCUAGAAAGAGGUGAAGUAGGCCGCUUCAACGAUUUCAACGUCUGGACAAGGGAGGCUGGUGCUGGUCAACUGGCCAUCUCGCUGGAAGGCCCUAGCAAGGCUGAGAUUGAUUUUAAGGACAGGAAGGAUGGGUCCUGCGACGUUUCAUACAAGGUUGACGAGCCUGGUGAAUAUCGCAUCGGUCUGAAGUUCAACGAGCAACACAUCCCUGACUCUCCGUUCAGGGUCUAUUGCUCUCCGCCUGUUGGUGACGCUCACCUCCUGGAAGUAGCUCAGUUCCCUGAUGGCGCGCAAGUCGACAAACCAGCUCAGUUCUACAUUAGACUGAACGGUGCUAAGGGUGAACUGAAUUCUACGGUGGUCUCCCCAACGGGCAAGACAGACGACUGCUUCAUCCAGAACAUCGAUGGCGACCAGUACAGCAUCAGGUUCAUGCCUCGCGAGAAUGGUGUUCAUAGCAUCAAUGUUAAGUUUAAUGGUAUCCACAUCCCGGCUUCACCGUUGAGGAUCAAGGUUGGAAAGGAUGAUGCUGAUCCAGCUGCAGUACACGCUCAUGGUCCUGGUCUUGGACAGGUUAAGACUGGUGUGAAGACAGAUUUGAUCAUUGAUACCUGCAACGCUGGCGCUGGUAUCCUCAAUGUCACCAUAGAUGGACCUUCCAGAGUGGCCAUGGACUGCACUGAAGUCGAAGAGGGUUAUAAGGUGAGAUACACCCCAUUAGCGCCUGGCAACUACUUCUUGAGCGUGAAGUACAACGGUGCCCACAUCGUUGGUUCGCCGUUCAAGAUUGAGUGUACUGGCAACAACCUAGCGGAAGUAGGAGCCCAGGAAACGUCGUCAGUAACAGUGGAGACUGUCCACAAAGUGUCCAAAGCUGGACAGAAACAAGGCCCGGUGCUGCCUCACUUCAAAUCUGACGCAUCGAAGGUCACCAGCAAAGGCAUGGGCCUGAAGAAGGCGUACCUCAACAAAAACAACCAGUUUACUGUCCACUGUGGAGAUGCAGGUAAUAACAUCCUCUACGUCGGUAUCUACGGACCCAAAGGACCAUGCGACGAAGUCCAGCUCAAACACAAAGGAAAGAACAACUAUGAAUGCUGGUACAUCGUCAGAGACAGGGGGGAGUACAUCGUCAUCGUCAAGUGGGGAGAUGACCAUAUCCCUGGAUCCCCCUACAAGGUUGAGGUCUAAGAGGUACAAAAACGACAGCGUAUGUAAGAUGAGGGUAUAUCGAUCCCUCCUACGUACAGAACUUUACAUGGGAACGUUUUAGAUGUAUCUAAACAAUGUAUUGUUAAUAAAAAAAAUUGAUUAACCAAGUAUUAUUGAAAUCAGUUAAGGGUCAGUCAGUCAUCCCCUAAUUUGCUACCCUUAGAGGUGGAAUACUUUAUUCGAAUUUGAUGGAUGUGAAUGAAACCACUACUGAUGGUUUGACUCCCUUUUCCCUCUCCAACAAAGAAAUAAUCAUCGAAAUCAGUUCACAGAUAUCGGAAUAAUCGCGUAACAUAUCCACAAAAUAAUAUGCAGUCGAAUUGAGAACUCCCUCUUUUUUGGAAGUCAGUAAAUAAAAAGAAAAUGAUUUAUUAAAAAUGUACCUAUUUUUUGCUUACGAUAGAUUACGUAGGAGGAAUCGAUAUCAGGGCGCGUUCUGGAAAUUUCUACGUGGUUUGUUGUUGAGAACUUUAUAUUUAUUUUGUUUCAUAAACUGUUUUUAAAUUGUGGCAAUACAUUAUUUCCUAUAUUUCUGUAUGAGUCUCUAACAGAUAUGUUUGGAAUCUGUUAUGGUAGAAUAGGUUCCAUUUUUGACGUCAUUUUACCAAUAAGUAAUGUGUUUUCUAGUCAUGUAAUUAUAGACAACUGAUUAUAUUUUGUCUUUUAAUUAUGAUAAUGACUAGAAUCUCUUUUAUUUGUUACAAACCCGAGCAGUAGAGCGUUUCAAGAAAAAGUCAGUCGUAUUUUAAAAGACAAAAUAGUGCAGUUGGUAUCAUCGUAGAUCCUUAUUUAUUAUCUUUAAAAAUAUAAUUUAAAAAAUCACAUACGCUGUCGAUUGAGUUUUGUCUUGAUUUUCGAUGAUUUUGUUCUUAUUUCUCUUUUAAGGGCAUAAUCAUUGAAUAUCAUUUUUAUAACGUUAUAAUUUAACUCAUAAGCUUUGGAUUACGAGAAAGUUUAUUUUGUCUGUCAUAAUUUUUAAUCGAACUUUUCAGAUAUAUGACGAACUUUAAACUUUAUCGUACAUUCAAAUUAAAAAAUAUAUUUGUGCUUCGUUUUCUUGUUCCUGUAUCUUCUUUAAAUAUCAUAAGAAUCAAAGAAUAUUUAAGCAUUUUCAAAUAUCUAACAAUCUGAUAAAUAAUUUUGUCAUAUUUUUCUGGUAUAUUGUGUACCAAUUUUUAGGACAAUUUAUAUGAUUCUCGUUUAGUUUUUAGGGCGACUAAAUGACAAUACAUAUGAAUUAUUAUCUUUAAUAAAUAUUCCCUUUUUAUAUCU